GACGAACGCUGGCGGCGCGCCUAACACAUGCAAGUCGAACGAGCAAAGAGGAGCUUGCUUCUCUGAGCGAGUGGCGAACGGGUGAGUAACGCGUGAGGAACCUGCCUCAAAGAGGGGGACAACAGUUGGAAACGACUGCUAAUACCGCAUAAGCCCACAGGUCGGCAUCGACCAGAGGGAAAAGGAGUGAUCCGCUUUGAGAUGGCCUCGCGUCCGAUUAGCUAGUUGGUGAGGUAACGGCCCACCAAGGCGACGAUCGGUAGCCGGACUGAGAGGUUGAACGGCCACAUUGGGACUGAGACACGGCCCAGACUCCUACGGGAGGCAGCAGUGGGGAAUAUUGCACAAUGGGGGAAACCCUGAUGCAGCGACGCCGCGUGGAGGAAGAAGGUCUUCGGAUUGUAAACUCCUGUUGUUGAGAAGAUAAUGACGGUACUCAACAAGGAAGUGACGGCUAACUACGUGA
rnacentral:rRNA from 1 species